AGCCCAGGUACAACUGCCAAAAUUUUUGAAGAGGAAGAGAAAGGUGACCCCUUUGUGCCACCAGCGCCAAUUAUUUCAAGUGAGCAGCAAGCUAAUGAGACAAUAAGUCCUAUGCCAUCAAAAGCUCUAAUGAGUCCUAAGCAAACUCCCAUGCGCACUCCCUCUGAGACUUCUUAUGGAAGAAAGAUCCAAGAGAAUGUUGGAACCAUUGACCACCGUUUGCAUGAAACUUUGGGUGCUAUUCAAAUUUCUAGUCAACUUACUGAAUGUGGCUCAUCACACAUGGCUCC